AGAGUUUGAUCAUGGCUCAGGACGAACGCUGGCGGCGUGCCUAAUACAUGCAAGUCGAGCGGACAGAUGGGAGCUUGCUCCCUGAUGUUAGCGGCGGACGGGUGAGUAACACGUGGGUAACCUGCCUGUAAGACUGGGAUAACUCCGGGAAACCGGGGCUAAUACCGGAUGCUUGUUUGAACCGCAUGGUUCAAACAUAAAAGGUGGCUUCGGCUACCACUUACAGAUGGACCCGCGGCGCAUUAGCUAGUUGGUGAGGUAAUGGCUCACCAAGGCGACGAUGCGUAGCCGACCUGAGAGGGUGAUCGGCCACACUGGGACUGAGACACGGCCCAGACUCCUACGGGAGGCAGCAGUAGGGAAUCUUCCGCAAUGGACGAAAGUCUGACGGAGCAACGCCGCGUGAGUGAUGAAGGUUUUCGGAUCGUAAAGCUCUGUUGUUAGGGAAGAACAAGUACCGUUCGAAUAGGGCGGUACCUUGACGGUACCUAACCAGAAAGCCACGGCUAACUACGUGCCAGCAGCCGCGGUAAUACGUAGGUGGCAAGCGUUGUCCGGAAUUAUUGGGCGUAAAGGGCUCGCAGGCGGUUUCUUAAGUCUGAUGUGAAAGCCCCCGGCUCAACCGGGGAGGGUCAUUGGAAACUGGGGAACUUGAGUGCAGAAGAGGAGAGUGGAAUUCCACGUGUAGCGGUGAAAUGCGUAGAGAUGUGGAGGAACACCAGUGGCGAAGGCGACUCUCUGGUCUGUAACUGACGCUGAGGAGCGAAAGCGUGGGGAGCGAACAGGAUUAGAUACCCUGGUAGUCCACGCCGUAAACGAUGAGUGCUAAGUGUUAGGGGGUUUCCGCCCCUUAGUGCUGCAG
rnacentral:rRNA from 2 species